AUGGAUCCUCGAAUACAUAGAAGAUCAGAACCAGAAAAAGGACCAGGCGAUUUGAUAGUUGAAUGGUUAAAUGAAGCUUCUUUAAAUCCAGGAGAAGAUAUAAAAGUUACAAAUUUAUGUAAAGUUCAAGAAAUCUUAAUUAAUAAGGAGCCACAAUUGCUUCCAUUAUAUUUAGAUGAAGCAUUACAGUUUUCUUUAGAUAGAUAUGCAGAAGUUAGAAAAACAAUUACAGGUUUUAUAGAAGAAGCUGGAGUAAAACAACCUGAAGUAAUUCCACGUGUUGUUCAAAUACUUUUAAGAUUAGUUUCCGAUGAAUCAUCAGCUGUUGCUAAAAGAGCUCUUAGAGCUAGUGGUAGAAUAUUAAGAGCUGCUUUGAAAUGGAUAUCUAGUGCUACUACAGUUACAGCAGAAAUGGAAGUAGCAUGGAAUCAACUUAGUGCUCUUAAAAUUCAAAUAAUAAAUAUGAUUGACAGUGAUAAUGAUGGUAUUAGAACACAAGCUGUGAAAUUUCUUGAAGGUGUUGUUUUAAUACAAACAUAUCCUGAUCCAGAUAUUCCUAAAAAACCUGAUGAUUUUUCUUUAGAAGAUAUUCCAUUAACAUUAAAAAUAGCACGUAGACGAAAAUUAGAAGAAGAGGCUAAUGAUGUAAUGGAUUUAUUAAUAAAAUUUCAUGGAUCUCCACAUGUUAGCAGUGUUAAUUUGAUGACAUGCAUGGGAUCUUUAGCAUUGAUUGCUAAAACAAGACCUCAAUUCAUGCCAGGUGUAAUACAAGCAUUACAGAGAUUACAACAUGAUUUACCACCUACAUUGUCCGAUUCUCAAGUAACUAGUGUACAAAAGCAAUUAAAAUUAACUCUAUUAGGAUUAAUGAAACACCCAGCUAGUAUAGAAUUUGUAUCUAUAAUAGCUAAACAAUUAACACAAUUAGGAGCAAAAGAACAAGAAAUUUUAAAAGCUUAUCCAAAACCAGAAGAUAUCCGGCGUAUGAAGAAACGUCAACAAGUAAAAGAAGCAGCUGCAUCUUCUGCAGCAAAACGUGUGAAAAUUGAAACUUCUUUAGUAUCAGAUGAAACGGAAAUUGUACCCAAUUUAAUUCCUGCUUCAAAAUUAUCAGAAUUAAUUGAACUUUCAGAAAGUUUUAUUUCUGAAAGAUUAAGUGUAGAAAUUGCAACAGAUUUAGUAAUGGAUAGUAUGGCAUGGGUCCCAGACACAAUGACAGCUAUCUUUCAAAGAGAAUAUCAACCUACUUCAACGACCGAUAUAAAUAUUCAGCGGCAGACAAUUGCUAAAUUAUUAGCAACGCAAAUAAAACAAGCUAAAACGAAAAAGAAAAAGGAUGCUAAAGAUGAAGAUGCCGUAAUGGAAGAUUUAGUAAAAAAUCCAACUAUUAGCGUAGCGGAAGCUAAACGAGAACGAAAACGUGAAAAAGACAGAGAAAAAGAGAAAGAAGCAAGGGCAUCUCUAGAAGCACAUGAAAAGUCAUUGGCGAAAACAAGAACUCGUUUAAAAGCUUUAAAAUUGUCUGAAGUUACAAAACCAUUGUCAAAAGAAGUAAAAGAAAAAAUGUUAUUGAUGGCUGUGAAUCGAAUUUUACUUUCUGAGAAAACAGCUGUGUUUGGUGGCGUGGCAGCUAUAAGAUCAAAAAUUUUAACUACUCUAGCUGCAACAUUUAAUCCGUACAUUAAAGAGGCAGUAUUACAUUAUAUUACUGAUGAUAUGAGAAACCGUUUAGAUUUAGCUUUAGGUUGGUUAUAUGAAGAAUAUGCAUUGCUUCAGGGUUUUCAAAGGCGAACUACAUUAUGUACAAAACCUCAAGAAGCUCCACAUCAGGCUUAUAACUUUUUAUUAUGUACUUUAGUAUCUGCAAUAGAUUUAGUUCAAGGCAAAGAUCGUGAUACAUUAUUAUAUAGGCUAUAUUUGGAAGCACCUUUAAUUACCGAAGAUGCUGUUGAAGCUUUAAAAAUGGUAUCUUCUGAUGAAACAAGAGGAUUGGUACCAUUGCAAUUAUUGAAAGAGAUGGUUAUUCGUAGACCAACAAAACAAUUAGUUUUUCUAAAUGUAUUAUUAUGUCAUACUGGUCACGAAAAUAAUACGAUAAGAGAAGCUGCUAUACAAUUAGUUUGUCAACUGUAUAGUCGUCCUGAAUUAAGUAAGCUCAUAGAAGAGUACGCGGUUCUUUAUUUAGGUUUCUUACGACUUCAUAUACCUCCUGAGAUCGUCUUCGGACAAGAUAGAGGUAGGCCACAAGUAGAAUCCCAAUGGACUGAAUCAACUACAAGAGCUUGCCUUGGAUUAUAUCUUGCUCUGUUGAGUGAACAUCAAGAUUUAAUUCAUGAAUUGGCAAGAGUUUAUACAUCAAUGAGUGCAGAUGUCAAACGUAUUGUUCUUCGAUUAGUAGAAGGACCUGUAAGAUCUUUAGGAAUGGGUAGUCCACAAUUAUUGGCAUUAGUUGAAAAUUGUCCUAAAGGCGCUGAAACACUAGUUACAAGAAUUAUUCACAUUCUUACAGAAAAAUCUGCACCAAGCGUGGAAUUAGUAUCAAGGGUACGAGAACUCUAUCAGACUAGAGUUUCAGACGUUCGAUUUUUAAUACCAGUCUUAAAUGGUUUAACAAAAAAAGAAGUAAUAGCCGCUCUUCCGAAACUCAUAAAAUUAAAUCCUAUUGUUGUUAAAGAAGUAUUCAAUAGAUUGUUAGGUACUCAUAAUAACGAAAGUGGUGUACCUCAUACAUCUCCUAUCACACCUGCUGAAUUGUUAAUAGCCUUGCAUAAUAUAGAUCCAAGUAAAGCAGAAUUAAAAACAAUUAUAAAAGCUACGUCUUUAUGUUUUGCGGAAAAACAAAUAUAUACGCAAGAAACUGUAGCUGUUGUAAUGCAACAUCUUAUGGAGAUGACACCACUUCCAACAUUACUCAUGCGUACAGUGAUACAAAGUUUAGCAUUAUAUCCUAGAUUAAGUGGAUUUGUUAUGAAUAUACUUCAGCGGUUAAUUCUCAAGCAAGUUUGGAAACAGCCAAAAGUUUGGGAAGGUUUCGUAAAAUGUUGUGAACGCACGCAGCCACAAAGUUUUGCAGUUAUUUUACAGCUUCCUCCAACACAGUUGGCCGAAGCGCUAAAAAUGGCAAGCAAUUUACGAUCACCUUUACUAGCUCAUGUCGAAGCCUUUGCCGAAAAUCAGAAAGCGCACAUUCCGCAAUCAAUAAUGGAUGUUAUUCAGGGUAAAUCACCUUGUGACAUGCAUGAUGAAUUUGAUAUUGCACCACCCGGUGAUUAUCCGAUUGAACAAAAACCAGAUACAAUAGAAACUGAUGUUUCAGAACCAGCUCCUCCUGGUUUAGAUUAGCAUAAACUCAUUCCAGUGUUGGGAUUUGAAUCAUCAUCAACAGAUUGUCCCAACUUUAACGAAUUUACCUUAAUACUUACAUCACGUGCGAAUGUUUCAUUUGUCGCAAAAUGUAAGUAUAAAAUUUUAAAACAUAAGAGCAUAAGAAACCCUUUAAUAUUUCAGUUGCGUCAUAAUAUUUUUAUGCGCAACAUACGAUUAUUUAUUUAUAAAUUAGUAUUAUUUAUAAAAUAGUAUAUUAUACUAUUUUAUUUUUACACACGUUAAAAUAUAUAAAAAUGAAAUUUUAUAUAAAAAUUAUAAAACAAGUUACAAAUUUUGUUGAUCUUUAUUGAAAGAUUCAAAGUAUACAAAACUAAAUAAAAGUAAUAAAAUUCAUUUU
rnacentral:misc_RNA from 1 species